GCGUUGGUGGUAUAGUGGUGGGCAUAGCUGCCUUCCCACUUCCAAGCAUUUGACCUGUGUUCGAUUCCCGGCCAAAGCG